rnacentral:rRNA from 1 species
UACGUAGGGGGCAAGCGUUGUCCGGAAUCAUUGGGCGUAAAGAGCGUGUAGGCGGCUCGGUAAGUCCGCUGUGAAAGUCCAGGGCUCAACCCUGGAAUGCCGGUGGAAACUGUCGAGCUAGAGUCCGGAAGAGGCGAGUGGAAUUCCUGGUGUAGCGGUGAAAUGCGCAGAUAUCAGGAGGAACACCAAUUGCGAAGGCAGCUCGCUGGGACGUAACUGACGCUGAGACGCGAAAGCGUGGGGAGCAAACAGG